UCAAUCUUGGUGUGGAUGCUCCCUCCUCCUGCCAAGUUCAGCUGGAUUCAUUGCCCAGCCGAGCCCAAUUACCUUAAUUUGUGGCAUUAAGGAAAAAUCCAUAAGCAUCAGGGAAGUGAUGUGUAGCAGUUUAAUGGGACUGGUUGGCCGUGGAGCCGCCGGCACCACCUGGAUGCUGCCCAUUGCCAUCCAUGGCUCCAUGUCCAUGGCCGCACAUGGCUGGUGGUGCAGGAGGCAGCCCUGGAGCCAUGGAGAUAUCCUAGAUUGGGGUUUCUUUGUGGGGAAACACCAUUUCUCCUUGCCCAGACUGGAAUAGGUCAGACUUUGGUCUCUCCCCUGCGUUGUCCAUGUUGUGGUUGGGGGUCCAAUGGUGGCUGGGGUCUUCGAGGGGCUGGAUGUGCCGAGUGCGGCACAGGAAUGCUGGCUGGGAAUGGGGUGCAGAUGGCUGCCUGUGCUUCUGCUGCGAUUUGUAAGACGGUGCAUCUGCUCCAGUGCUCACUUCUCACUGUCAGACCUAAUCCUCUGUGCUGCACAGGCCGGAUCCUGACCCCACAGUGAGGAUCCUGGUCAAACGUGGGGAUGGAGGUGGCUUCAGGCACAUCUUUUCCUUCUCCUGCUAUGGAUAUAGGGGGAUUUACUGGCAUCCAGGAAAAAGCGACCCCUCUUGAGCUCGAUAAAAAACGGAGUCAAAAGGAUUUGAUUAACCCCUGCUCUGUUCACGGCGUGUGCUCCGCCUGAGCCAGACGCGUGCCUGUGCCCAGCCAAGUCCUGCCCAUGGCCGAUAACGGGCUCCAUCAUCCCAUGGAGCCCAGCAGCAUCAUGCCCAGGGGUAGUCCCAUCGAUGGAGGUGAUCUGGGGGGGUUCCAGGCCCCCAGGGCCACAUCAGUGGGUCGGGCUGCUCCGGAGCCAUGGCUCAAUCCGUGCCAUUGCAGUUUCCUUAUGAAUAUCUUCUGCUCCAACUGACAUUCUUCCCUGCGAUCAGAUACAUUUGACUAAACUAAUACAUAUGUAUACACACCAGUACAUUCCCAUUCAAACCAAUGUAAAUUACCUUUGACCAAUACGUUUUCCUGGGAAAUCAAUGCAUUUUAACACGGGAUAAUAUUUAUGAAAUUGAAUUUUUUAUUGAAGCUAAUGCAAUUCUCUUCUAUUUUAUGCAUUUUUAUUAAACUAAUGCAUUUUAAAUUAAACUGUUGUAUAUUAACUACAA